ensembl:lncRNA
AUUGUGAAGAUGGGAGAGUGAAUUUGGGAAGCAAAGUUGACAAGAAUUAUCAUCAAAUGUACUGACAUAGUUUGUGUUUUGUGUUUACGUGAAUCUGAAAUUUCAUGGAAGGAAGACCAGUUUUAUAUGUUAUGUAAAAGAAAAUGAUGAUUUGUUAUAUAAGGCAUAUUAUGGGGAGCAUUCAGCCAUACUGUGAGGCUCCUUCUCCUUGCAUUCCCAAUGCACAUUUUGGCUGUUAUACCGAAUUGGCAUAUAACCAGUUCACUGGAAUUAGAUCACAUUUACUGUGGUAUUUGGGAAGACUGUCAGUUUGUGGAGGAGGUGUGAAGCUUUGUAAUGACUUGCCAUAUGACCUCUCGCCUUGCUGUGCUAGGAAAGGAAGUAAAGCUGAGAAUUCCUGGUCCCCAGCCCUUGAUUUAAACUUCUCCAUCUUAAGGAACACGUCAGGUACCCAGUGUUGGUCUGAGCUGCAGAGAGCAAAAAGAGAGGGAAGAUGCAGACAACCGUCUGUAUCCCUAUUUGAGAAAACAGUUUGAAAUGUAAAGAAUAUUCUUCAUCAAGGAAGAGAAAGACUUAAAGAACAGAAGACUUUACGUGAAGCAAAGUAAGAAUUGGGACAUUGUGAAGCAUGUCCUGAUGUUGUUUCAGAAUUAAACUGUGAAGUGCUAUCGACCUAGACUUGUGGAGGGCACCACAGAAGCAUGUUGUGUAGUGUCUAUGGAGUAAGAUUCUUAUUCUACCUUGAAAGCUAAUUCCUGAUGCUGUUUAUCCAAAACACCACCUGCUGUCAAGGGCGGUUCUGGCAAUUUGAAAUGUCUUUGUCCACGAAGCAGCCAUACCUGUUAGGUUUAAUUUCUGCAAUGAAUUACCAAGUGAGAACCUUAAAUAUCAUGGAUUAAUGCCAGAUUGGUCAACGGAAGUUUUGGACCUUAGCUGCCAGAGAGCUGCGUGCAUGGUGUUACCAUCACAUCCACUGAAUGUGCUGGAGCUUUCCUGUCAAGGUUUUAAUUUCCUGCCAGUGAUUUUAUUUUUAAUUUUUUUGAGACAUUAGAAGGUCUUUAGCCAUGACUGUGUAUCAGCAGCUGAAAGAAUUUGUGAGGGUGAAUGUAACUAUUUGCUCCGAAAAAACCUACAUAGCUCUUUUCACUCCUUUUGACGAGUAUCCAUGAAUACAUUUAAGUUUUAAAGAGCCCCAGAGUAGUUCUUACUGCUGUAUUUGACCAACGCAUUGUCUGGACUGCUCUCCAUUUGUAAGUGAUGAGAGCUUUUCCAUGCAGGCAGCCCAACCACUGGAAGGUCAGCAGUCUGAUGCUGGCUUCAAAACCACGAGAUUGGCUGCUUUCUGCAUUGGGUAUCAAUGAGUCACAUUACCUUCUAGAAAACAAAACAAAAAAACAGCCGGACUAAUUUCAAAACCUGCCAUUGGAGAAAUAAUGUGUGAAGACCUUCUGACUGGAGAUGGAGGAAGGAAGGUACAUUUGCUCAGCAUGAGAUACUUUAGAUGUGCAUUCAUGAAGGGUGUAAACAGCCUCACCUGCGGUCUCAGCCUCCACAUAAGGCAGCUGAGCUUCCUUUGUAGGUAGCAAGGCCCCGCACCAGGCAACUGAGAACACCUGAAGUAAGAGAAUCCUUAUCAGCUGGCAAAGGGGGGCCUCUUCCAUCUCUGGAUCCUCUGGAUAUCUGGAGGCUUGCUUUCAUGGGAAGUGACUAAAAUUGGG